UGACGUUCAGAACUGGGUUUUCCAGCUGAAGAUAAGCUUUCUGCAUUGAUUUCUCUUUCAAUCCGACCAGCUGGACACAAUGCUGAUAAAACAUCCUUGGCUACAGGAGGUUCUCAUGAGUGCCCAAUGGCCACAGGUGCUCUCCAGCCUGCUAAGGAGGUUUUAAAUAGGAGAAACAAAUACAACUAAAUUAUAUGUGUGCCCCCAGUAGGAGGAAGCUGACCUGUGGAGGAGGAGGAGUGUCCAGUAUCGUGAGCACCAUCUCAACACAGUGACAGAAACUCUUACAAAGCUGAAUUCUAGAGAAGAUUGAAUCCUGCCUCCUUUUGCACUGGGAAGCCAAGCAACCAUGCAACUUGCAGGACUUGGGACCCUUUUCUUCUCAUGCCUGGAGCCAGCCUCAAACAUACAACAAAGUCCAUUCAGGAGCUAAUAUCAAAGGAGCAAGGUUUUUUCAGCAAUGGUAGAUGCACACCUUAUACCCACGCCCUAUAGAUGAUGGAACAUUGAAUAAGAUGAAUGCCUAACUGGUCAGAUCCUUUUCUGAUGAACGGUGGUGUAUCUGGGGUAAGUGCAGCUACAUCUACACAGAACACCUUAGUAAGACUGAUUUCAUCCCACCCAUUUAAAUCUGUCUUGCAGACUUGUCUGCACAGCAGAACCAAAACGUCUCUGCCCCCUUCAUUCCCUGAUUUCAGCUGAUAAAGUCUCCUCAUAAAUCCCACGUGCGAUAGCAGCAGCGUGACCCAUCACUUCAUUACAUCAACUUGCAAAGCUCUGUAUUGUGCUGAGGAGGAACCUAUCUGGGCAGAAUGGAUCCAAUCCAGGAACAAAUAAAGGAAUCUAGUUAUUUCUGGGCAAGUUCUGCAUGAUUUACUGCUUCUCAAUUUUCCUGCUGUCAGCUAGUUUUUCUCCUAUUCGUAUUCCCUCUCCAUGCAGGAGGGCAAGUAUCCAGAUGGCAUAGGUAUCCUGGUUAGUUUUACUUCUUAGCUGAUUUCUUAACAGUGCAGCUGUCGGGAGAGCCAACCUGAAUGUUGGUUCGGAUUGGGGUGAGAUGCACAUAUUCAUUGUCAUCUAGCUUUAGCUGUUUCAGUGCAUGCCUCUUUGUUCCCAAAUAAAGAAUCUGCCCCAGUGCAUGACAGUGCAUCUCUGCAGGCAUCCCUGCCUGCAUGGUACAAUGAGGAAUCUUUGCACAGGGAGGUGGUUUCCUGAUGAACAGAUAUUGUAUAUCUUUUGUAGAACACUUGUAUAACAUUUUUCACUGUCAACAGGAAGGGAUUAAAGCAAGAUGGUAUGUCAGGCUCUAGGCUGCUGUGCAUUUAUUUGGUGCAUAGUAGAAGAUGUAAGAGGUAGGGAAAACAAACCAUGUUUUCUUCUGUAUUUUUUUAAGCUUUUGUUUGUGAUUACUUUCCAGCAAUUUUAAAAGGUAGUACAAGGCCAAGAAAGAACAGCUAGCUUGUUUAGUCUGAUGUGGUAUGUAUCACUAGUUUAUUUCUUCCAGGACAUUACUUUUUCCAUGCAUUUACUUAAUGGUUUGUAUUUGACUAAUGCACAUCUUUCAGAAAGGUUGAUUCAAUGAUUGCUGGAAUUUCCUGUGCUUUCUAAAACAUUAAUAAUUACACUUGUGCCAAGCCUCCUUUGCUAAAUUCUGCUAUGAUUCUCCUAUGCAAUAUGCAAUUGCCUUGCAAUUUUGAUAACUUCAGCAGACAUAACUCUUGUAGCUACUGUCCCAGCUUUAAAAUUAUUUCAUUGGUCUUGUUGUCUUAUCUUGCAUCCCUCCAAAUACGGGACUGAGAUAUUUACUGAUAACUUUUGUCCACCCUGAACAUUUAAGCUGUCAUUUCCAGGUAGCCUGAGGCUUGUAUAGAGUCUCAGUUGCAACACAGAGUAUUUCUGCUGAGUUUCCCUCUAAAGCAAUGUGAAUCCAUUCAGGUUUCUGUCCAUCUGUCAGUUGCUCUGUGAUGAGCUCUGUGGAUUUUCACAACGUGCAUGAUUUCAUCUUCUAAUUUCUAAAUUAAUAAAUUUCCUAAAAUCAAACUUGAAUGGAAUUAAACUUGUUCUGGAAUGAUGAUAGCCUAAAUUCAGUGCAAAUGCCUUGAAAAAAGAAUCUUGUUUUCACAUUAAUGUAUCUUGCACAAAAACAACAGUUGAGAGUAUACGUUCACUGCCGAAUUUGUAAAGAAUGUCAAAUGACUAAACUGGAGAAAUGACUGGCUAGACACCUGGAGUAGGAGCUCCAUGAGUAAUAAGCAGCUCUUGACAGCUGUAGCCUCUUUUGCAGGUGCAAAAGGAGCAUCUUUUUCUUUUAUCCACUUUCCAUCAGUUGGAAUCUUCCAAGCUGUGAAAACAGCUGGGAGUUGAAACAAGAGGAAAAUCAGUUUACCCUCUCCUAUCCUAUGAGUAAGAGGUGUGUGUGGGAGUCUGAGAUCAACAAAUUCUGACCUCAGAAAACAUGGAAGCAAGGAAAAAAAUAGCUCAGGUCAUUAAUUACCAAUCAUAUCUCUAAUGUUAGGUACAUCAGAGCUACCUUGACGUGCAUUGAAUGUUUUGGUAAUAUUUUCUAAAAUAUUCAGGACACAAUUAAAUGAUUAGACUCUUCUGCAUGUUUUUGUUUAGGAGCAGCAUGACGCAGAACACUUUAAAAAGGUAAUUGAAUGACUAAAACUGUCACGUACUUUUUUUUUUCACCUGUCAGAUGUAAAAAUCAGGACAAAGUAAAUGCUGAUGUUAUGUGGUGAUGCACACACAGUUACAGUGUGUUCACUCAGUGAACAAAAGCAAUUAAUCACUACAGAAGAGUUACGUUUGUUUUGUUUUGUAAUUAAACAUCUCUAUUCAUUUUUAUUCUUUCAGAGUAACGCUUUCUUAGGAGUAUCUGUUAGAAGGCACACAAAUGCAAUACAGACCAAGUUACCUGAAUUGGGUUUUCUUGGUUCUGAUUUAAAUGACAAUUAACUACAUUAAUUUAAACCACAGUGUUAUAAAUGGGUCUGUCUUGCUUUAAAGAUAAUUAAGGAUAUAACUUGAAAACAUGCUUCUUUCAGUGCUGUAACUCAGUGAGUUUUCAGAAUAACUCCAGUCUUAAUAAAUCAAGGCAAGCUGUGGAAGCCUUACUUAGUGCAGCAGUCUCAAUAUCUGAAGUUAAGGCCACUGAAGAAUAUAUUAACAUUUAUAAUUGCUAAGUUGAUCAGUAACGCAAAUCAAAAAUGAGAAUUUCAAAACAAAUUAACCUUUGCAGCACGUCAUGUGGAGACAGACAGACAGUGAAAUCUCUGGAAAGGUUCCCCUUGUCCUUGCAGUGAUUUGUCACAAAUCAGCAUAUCCUCCGUGCUGCUUUCCUGCUCUGCAGCAGGCAGCCUCUGGAGUCCAAAUGUCCAAAAAAUAAACUCUGAUAACAGAGAGAACAACGUGGACAGUCUGAGGGUGGCAAGUCACUGCAUGGGCUGUUGUUGCUUUGCAUCUCUGCAGGCAGAUUUGUAUUUUGGGACUAAGAUUAAUAUGUUUAGGCUAGGGCCAGAUGGGUUUAUAAUUAGAUGCACACAGUCUCUGACCUAUUAAUUGAAGCUCAUGCUUUCCUGUGUCUAUACCCCACAUUUAACAAGAUGCUACUCUGAAGCAAUCAGUAGAAAAAGGCUCUUCCUUCCCAGUUGACCCUCUGCUUAAAAUCUGCCGGUUCCAUGCUUUGUUGAGAAACCUACAAUGCUCCAUCAGUUCUGAGUGCACCACACCACGCCCAGACUCUCAGAAAAAUGCAGAUGCUCUCAAAUGAAAGCAAAAAUUGCAGUCCUUCGUGGAGGAAUGUUGCGUGGGUGACUGCAGAGGGAAGAAAGGAGCAAAUAUUGCAAACAUCUUUGGCCUAUUCUCCUAUAGAUUUGUCAACUUCCAGAAAGAUUUUGUCAAACGACACAACUGAUGAAGACUUCAAACUCACCAAACAGUACUGCCCCAAGGAACAGAAGACAAGAGUGGGCGCAUGGAGCAGCUCAGCACCUCAGCAGAGGGAAAUCUCCUGGGAUUUGGCACAUCGAAGUGGGAAAAUGCAGCACCAACUCACUCCUAGAGAAAAGCCAUCCUAGACUCAUAUUACUCAUAUCUCUUUGACUUGGCCACCAAAAUCCAUUUCUUGCUGCCUUGUCAGCAAGAAAUGAAGCCAAGGCUGGUGGGACAGCAGUGGAGUCACCCAGGAUCCCUCUGCUUCUGGAGGACAAAACAUCUACCCCCCUGCUCAUCUGUCAGGAUUCCCCCUCUGGAAAAGAAGAUCAGAGCAAAUGGGGAAUGAGGAGAAUAAAAGCUGUCCCAAACCUUUGACCUCAACUUAACGUAAAGCCAAAUGAAACCCUAGAGCCAGUUGCUGUCCCAUGAAGGAGAUUAAUACCAAUGGGACUAUUUCCCCUAAACAAGGAGAAUCUGCAUGAUGAGAAGAGCAAAAGAAGUUGUAUGUCCACAGAACUUGCAGAAGUCUCAAGAAAACUCCUGAAUUCAGUGUGAGUUGGAAGCCAGGUCCUAGCAUCUUGCUUCACAUCACCGCAGUGCCAUCAUUGCCUGUCUUCUGAGACAUGGAUUUUCACUCUGUCCAUGCUGGUUGACACCAGCAAAUCAUUCCAGGCAGGAGCCAGGAACCUUCUACCAGAGCAUUGCCACCAGGAUGAGUCUGCAGGGACUGCCCAGAGACACCUGGAAAAUCAAGUGCCAGAAACUAGUGGUGCAGGAGAGCCAGCACCUCCGUUAACAGAUCGGUUUAUACCUGCAAGAACUUGUCCCACCAAACCAAAAAAAAACAUCAUCCUACUCAUGCACAGUUCCCCAAAACGUCACAAAAGCGACUUUCGGCCUUUAAAUCUGAUCUGUCUCCAUUUGAGAUGCCUCUGAGAGCGUAGGUGUGACUAGAAGAUUAUUACCAAAUAUAAAUUUAAUUCAGUAAAAGUUAUUUAGAAAAAAAAAAUUACACUGCAGUUAUCAAAGUCCUCUGCACAUCCUUCCCAGCAGACAUUCUGUCUGUCUUACUUGUGGGGAACUACUCUUGGUCAGAAUGCUGCAGGUGUUUUAAAAUUAAAAAAAAAAAAAAAAAAAAGUUUGUCGCGUAACUUUUAGCGGUGUUUAUUUUGCGUGAGCAAAAUUGUCUUCUGUCUUAAGAUGUUUAAUCAUUAUUUGAAAGCCACUUGAUGAAUAGAAGAGUGUGUACUCCCACACGGGACAAACAUAUUUUUAGACUGAUUCAUAAUAAUUUAUUUCUGUCAGAGUGGAAUGCAUUAAUUUCUUCUACUGGUAAGGGCUUCACUGCUGCUUCUUUUCCUAAGGUAGAUGGUUCUGCUCUGGGAACAUAUUAGCUGAUUUAAGUGGAUGCAGCCAGGUACUCAGUUAUGUCAUGGCUAUCUCAACGAUCUCUUAAGGAACACUGAGUACUUAUUUUUGUGGAUACGGUGCACUCUGUGUUUCAUCACAGACCUUUGUCACUUUGUUAUUUACGGAAUUCAGAUUACUGCAAUCUAAAAGUUUCUCAGUCCUUGUUAGUGCUCAGUGACACAAAAUAAACCCACAUAUUAAGGAGGGAAAAAAAAAAAAAAGACCAAACAAAACAAGAAAAAGAAAAAAGAAAGAAAAUGAAAGCAGCAAUGUGAAAAUGCACAGCUAUAAAGGGAAGUAUUAUUAUUUGCUAAUAGUUUCCAUGUAGAAGUUAGCUGCUGAGUGCCGGGCUCUGUGCAGUGCAGGGGGAUGCAGCCAGGCAUCUGCCUCCAUGUCCCUCCUGAUGUAGGCAGAGCAGGACCACAAUGCUCUCCAAGUUCCUUUUUUAGUAAAAUCAUUCCUCGUCCAAGAGCUGCUGGGCCCCACUGUGUGCCAGAAAUACCCGCGGUCCUCUGGGAAUUGCAGCCCUUGGCCCUGCCCAAGCCCCAGUCCUCCCAACCCAGCAGGAUCCUCCCAGCCAGGGCUGGUGGCAGCACUGCUCCUCACUUCAUUUGAAGGGCAGCAGACAGAAAUUGACUAUCUAUUUAUUUAUUUAUUUAUCUGUCUAUUUUUGGCACGGGAUAGCUAACAACUCGUGCGUGGCUGUAAAAGACUGCAUGCAGGCUGCAGGGUGAGAAGCUCUGUGUGUUGUCAUCCGUUUCUUCCAUACCCAGUUUUGCCUUUCCUGUGCUGCUGCCACUGGAGUACAGAGAGACCCAGAGCAGUGAUGCCAUUCUGCUGCUGGCCUUGCCUGCUCUGAUCUUUUCCACUCUCAGAGAAGGUUUUGGCCCUAGAGCCUUUGCCAAGAGUCAUCCCUACAAAUCCAGGUGGGAUGAUGCUUUGGAUGGGGCAGGCUGCUAUCAGGUUGCCCUCAAUGGAGAUGUGUGAGCAGGGCAGAGGGAGAACGAGGAGUGGGUGGUGCCGUACAAAAUGAGCUCAAAGUAGGCACAGGGCUCAGAAGUGCUGCUGGGUAUCUCAUGUGCUGCUAAUGAGGCUGAUAAGGAACCUGUGAGAGGGAAGGAAUGGGAAAGAUGGUCUCAGAUCCACUUGGAGGUCAAUGAUUAUGAAGUAGGGAUGGAAUUAGGGUGGAGAAGUCAUGGUUGGGUAAGGGUCGAGUUGAGGAACUUGGGAUAGACUCCCAUUGAGAUGUUUAAUGAACUCAGCUUCUUGCUACCAAGAUGGUGCUUUCUUAAGUACCUGUACAUAGCUCAUGGUUCAGCUCUAACCCUCCAAGAGGUCACCUGUGUCUGGCAGCAGACAUUUCAUAUGUCUGCACACAUGCACUAUGUGAUUAGAGCAGGUGAUAACAAGUGUGCAAAAACAUCUCUGGUCUAGGGAACUAUAUACUGCUCACUGAGCUGAUCCGUAGUGAUAGAGUCAUAGAAUUGUUUGAAUUAGAAGGGACCCUUAAAGCUCAUCUAGUCCAACUCCCUUGCAAUACCCUAUCAGGUGCUUGGAGCCCCAUCCAGCCUGACCUUGAAAGUCAAGUACUGAUCAAGUAGUGACCAAAUGCUUCCUAUGUGCUGGGAGGUGCAUCUGGGAGGUGAGCUUCAGGGCAAGGCAAGGUGGUCCCAUGCACCUGAAUGGCAACCUGAUGAACUGCAUUUAGUUUCUUCAGCUACCUGAAGCCUCCUUUAGUAUUUUUGAAAAAAAGAGUUGCUUUUCAAAGGCACUGAGUGUUCCCAGUUGCAAUAGGUAUUAAUAAGAUUUGGGUUUUACAAGCAUAACAUAUAUGUCUCUGAGAAAUAAGAUUUCUGGCCAGUUUGGAUACCCUAAAACUAGAAAACACUUUUUAUUUUAAUCUGAUUAUAUUUCAUCUCUUCCUAUUCUCACAACAUGUGAUUUGACUGCAGGAAUACUUAUGUUGGUUUUUGGAUGACCCGUUAAUGAGAAGUACAGAAAGCCCAUGAGGCUCUGAACAGUCUUGUCUUGCUGUUACUUGAUCUCGGAAAUAAGGCAUGGUGUCAUGCAGUAAACAUGAAAUAGAAAACCAAACAUAAAGUCAUUAAAAAUGUGCCAUCUGGUCUGUGCAGAUAAGGAGCAGAAAACUCUUAGGAAAACUCUAAGGAAGUUCUUAGGAACUCAACUGCAGUUGCUCAAUCGAAGUUAGGGUAAAGGUGCUGCUUAUGUCUGUCUGUACUAUUGCACAGAUGAGGUCUGAGUUCAGCUGCUCAUCUGACACAGAGUCAUAUUCAUCCUGACACCAGGUGUUAUGUUGCACUAGGAAUAAAGCAGCCACUUGCUGACUGAGUGAGCUGUACUCACAGUGAGGGAUGGUGGCAUUGCUGGGCCCUGUGUUGGAGGCUGGAGAUGGCUGAUCCAUUCCUGCAGCUCCAGACCCUGCUGGGAACCUGAACUGUUAACCUGAAUGCUCAUUUUUAUGUGUUUUCCGCUGAAACUGUUUAAAAGCAUCUCUGUUGCUGUGAAUUCCUGCCUAUUUGUCAUAAAGGGGGAAAAACACCAAACAGGAAUUAACAAGAGGAUUUUCUUUGUGACUUCAGUGCCUCAUUAGGAGGUUUAUGAUCAGGCUUUGGGAAAGCUUUCCUUGAAUUAUUUUAAGGUUCUAAUGAUAAAAACCUCGGGGAGGUCAUGCACAUGGGAGAUUUAAUACCCCUUCAGAACCAUCUGGCAUUAGAUUACAUGCAGGGAAAGAACAAAAUCUGGCAGUAAUAUUCAUCUCCAUUAACCCAGAAUACAGGCUGAUAUGAUUAUAGCAGAGAAAAUGCUCUCACUCUGUCACUAGGAAAAGCUCUUAAUAGACCCAGGCUAAAUUGGUUUAUAAAACUAAAGACUUCUUGAAGCAUGGAUCUGCCCUCUCAUUGAGUGCAUUAGCUUUGGCUUUUAAUAUGUUUUAUAUCUUUUUAACGUCGACAAAUAAUAUGUUAAAGCAUAAAAUAUUGCUAGGGUGAAAGACGGUGUUUGGAGCUCCCAACUUACUCCAUGAAUACAAUGCUAGUGGUGUAAGCACAGCCUUGGAGCAUGGUCCACUCGUGCUUUGCUUCUACCUCUUCUCAAGAGCAUCAGCAAGGUCAUGGUCCCAGUGACAUCCUCAGCAAAACUUGAAAUGCUGUUGGUGGCAAUAAGAUCCUCUAUCCUCUCAACUGCUCUUCUGAGAGCCCAAACCAGCAAAGUGCUAAAGCAAGCAUUUGGCCUAUGGCACACUGAGCACUUCAGGAUUUAUGUACUUCUCUCUAAGAAAGCCAGUAUUUAAAUUCUUGGCUAAACCAGAACUUUAGGAGAAAGUAGAGAAAAUAGAAAAGCGUAGAGUAAGAAGAGGACCAGGAAAGCCACUGUUCUCUGCCCCUCAGUGUGAGGGUGUUUGAUGCAAACCCUCCUGAGCAAAGCACUACAGAGACACAGACAGAGUCACUGCCCUGCACCCAAACUGCUGACUCUCCUCUAAUUGGCUGCCUGGUAGUUCCUGCAUCCAAACAGGCUCAUCUUGUUACUCUCCAUCUGCACAAUGACUUCUCCAGACGUAGUCUCUCUUCCCCUUCAAAUUUUCCUUUCCUUUCACCUCCUCUUCCCUCCACUCUCAGCUCUAUCUCCGGACAGCUCCUUUCCUUCAGCCAGAAUUAUGAUUCCCUCCUUACAUGGAAAGCAAAACCAUAUGGGAGACAAGAAAAGGCCAUUUAUCUCAAAGUCUAUUAAGAUGUGGAGACCUCGCAUUAAGGCUCCAGUUCAGCCAGCCUUUCUUGCACGUGUUGCUGUCAUCUCCUUCCACCAGAACAGGGAUGUACUCCUGAGGCAGACUUGCUAAGAUGCUCUUAGCUUGUCAUCGGGUUUGUACUUAGCAUGGCUCUGCAUACAAAACAUUUAAAGGAAAUAAAAAAUUAAGACGUUGCCACAUCUUUUCCCUCAGCCUUCAAAGCCACCUCUGCCAGUUCUCCCUAUUUUAUUGUCAUCCUGGGACAGAGUCGUAGAGCAGUAAACAGAAUGGGCAUGAAGCCUGGCAAAGGGAAGUCACCAAAUGGAUGCUUCUACCUGUGUGACUGGGAGGGUUGACAUUACUGAAUUAGCAACUGCUUUAGGAUGAGAGUGCAGAAGAUGGCUGCUCUUUUAACUUGGGGUGAAAGCCUCCAUCUUUCACACUUCUGGGGAGUUAAGAGAUAUGGAGCCUUGUAAGACACAACUGCUGGAGUCCUGCAGUGCCUGCUGUUAUGUUUCUGCUCCCUUCUCCAGGGUUGUAACAUAUUUGCUGACGGAUUUACACUGCAGUUGGAAACCAGAACCCAGGACAGCCUGUUCCCUUGCUUCGUGCUAUAAACAUAAAUACACUCGCACAGCCAUUUGUAGCUGGUUCUUUCUAUCUGCACAAGGAUUUUAUUAUCUUUCUCUAAAGCGGUCUAAAGAGGAGCAAGAGACUCGCAACAAAAGGAAGUGCUUGAACAGGAACAAGAAUAAAAAGGAGCAAAGGGCAGGAAGUUGCUAAGAGACCACGCAAGCAAGAGUGGGGAAUUAAUGGCAGAUAUCAAAGCAGCUAUUGGAAACCACAUGUUUUCCUACAAGGGCUCAUUUAUUGAGGAGGAGCUGCUAUCAGAAGGCAGCAGUGUUGCUCUGGUCUGAAGUACAUUUGUAACGCAGAAAAAACUUUCUCCCAUUUACAGUUUUGUUCUCUGCAGGGCGAGUUGCUAAGUUAAUGACAGGCCUUUAAAUUAACUACUGUUAUGGAACAGCAGAGCGAGUAAUAUGGAAAAAAAUGCAAGCAAUUAUGGUUUAAAUAAACCUUAUCCACUGCAUUAUUAGAAACUACCUGAGCUGAGAUUUCAGCAGUGUUAGGUUUGUCCUCAGCUCUCCUCAGUGAGAAUCUGGGUCCCACAGGGUUGAACAGUGUGGGAAAUGCUGAACAAUUCCAGCUGAGCUCUCAGCUGCUGUCUCAAAUUCCUGAUUUUCACCUCCUGAUUUUGUUGUUACUUUGCCUCUAAUGCACUAUGGGUCUUUUGACUAUAAAAGAACCAACAAGACAAGCAGGUAAGGGAGGGCAAGAGAAGAACGAUAAUUGCAUCGAAAGGCACUUAAAUGGUAAUGUUGGCAAUGGCCUGAACAACCCACACUAACCUCCUCAGUACCUCCCAAUUCUGGACUCAAUUUGAGAUUACAUCUGCCAUAGCGUGAUAGUCUUUGUAGAUGAUCUUAAUGUCCUUUCCAACUUUAAUGAUUCUGUGAUAGCCCAACGGCCACAGCCACUCUGAGUAAGGCAGGGUGCUUUGCUGGCUUUGCUUGCACGGGCAAAAUUAUUGCAGUCUUUCAACUGCUGCUCUGGGAGAAGUGUUCCAGCUCUGCUAUAUAGAAUGGUUCCAGCUGUUCUCCACUCCUCCAGAGAUAUCAUCAGAGAGCAGUCGCUUACACUGAGAUUACGUUAAUGAUAUCAAAGGGUGUGGAAGAAGGCUGCUAAUUAGUAAGCCCUCAAGGCACAAAGAUAUAAAUAGCCCUGAAGCAGCAAGAGAGCAGAUCCAAAUCUGCAGUCUAACAUUAUCUCGGGCUGAAAGCAUUAUGUGUUGACUGAUUCCACCAGAGGAGAGUGAUUGAACUUUCCUGUUGAGCAAAAAAAGCAGGGCUUGUUUUGAUUGAUAAAUCUCCAUGUCAGAUUGUGCAGCAUAUUAUCCAUUUAUCGUGCCACCUGCCAUGCCUGAGACAGGAGCAGCAGCAGUGAGAACAUGAUAGGAUGGGAUGAACCUUCCUUUUGGAGAAAAAAUAUUGGCUCAUACUUUUACUUAUUAAAAUAAAUAAAUAAAAUAGCACCUAUCUCUAUUUCCAUUGCCAAAAGUUUAAAUGCUUCUGGGAUCCAGCCAAAAGGCAAAGAUUGUGGUAAGCAGCUAAUAUCUGUCAGCAGAGAAUUUGCAGGAAAAAUAAGGCUAUUCCAACUAGCGUGGUCAUGGUAGAGAGGGAAUGUCAGUGCUGAGGGAGAUGAAAAUCACAGCAUGGCCCUGCAGAGUCUCUCAGGCUCAGGAGUCACAUCCCUCAUCUCACAGCACUGGUGCCAGUGCUCUCCCCAUUUUCUUGCAUGUCUGCAACUGGAAAACCAGUCAGCUCUCCUAAAUCGCCAUCCUGUAUUUGGAUGCAACUUACUGUACUCCUCCACACUUUGCUCCCUGUAAGGAUUACUUAUAUAAAGUUGUUGCAUUGAUUUUUUUCUACUGUUGUUGGGUGGAUUUUUUUUCUUUUAAUUGUUUUAUUGUUGGUCUUUUUAAGUCCUAGGCUGUUUUUUGAACACCACACCAACCAGCCGCUUGCAGCAUCUUGACAGCACUACCACCCUGCAAUAAACUUACAGAAUUUGGUUUUUCAGUGAAGGUUGGCUGUAAGGGAAGAGGGGGAGAGGAAAGCACAAGAAAAAACCCAAAAUUCCCUUCCAAGCACCAUCCCAGCCAUACGCAUGGACUUGCACAGCUGUUCCCAAGCGCGGUAUCGGAGCACCGCACGUAAGGAGCACUUCUGCAGGACCACACAAGUUUGCUGCUAUUCUUAAGCCGAGCCUCGCAAUUGGGAAACUCCUGCCAAGUCGUUUGAGACAGUGGCACCUGGGAAGUAUUAUAUGAGUCUGUAUUGCAUCAUGAGAACCCUAUUUGCACUUAAUUACACAACUCCCUCUCUCCUCCCAGUAGAACGAGCGGGACAGAUGCUACAUCUACAAAGUGAGAAUCAAACACAUUUUUUAAGUGGAGUCUGACAGCCUGAAGCCUAGAGGCAGGCUUCAGACCAGAUCCCAGCAGUGAAGAUCCUCACAGUACUGAAUGGCUCAGGCCAAUGAGUUUUUGUGCAUGGAUCCCACAUACCUUACUAUGGGCCUGUCUCAUGCUCCUGCCUCCUUAUGCAGAAAUGUAGUUGAGGAGGUUUUGACCACCAUCCUCUUCCUUGGUCUUUCUCUGUGAGCCUUUUGCAGCCAGAAGCCUGGAUAUUAUCUUCACAAGGCUCCUGCCACAUCUUUUCUAUGGUGCUGGUCACCAUCUUAACACAGUGUGUUAAGAAGCCUUGCAAGGCUUCUUUAUCCAAACCUGUAGAUUGCACUGGUGCCUCUGGAUUUGAGUCAGGUUAACGGACAUCAGUUGGGCUAACCAAUGAAGAUUCUCUGACAACAAUGAGCGAUGGAGAGGCAGGAAAACCCCAAACUGGCUUUGCUAAGCCCAGAUAAAUAACAGCAGCACCACCACAUCAUGCUUGACAGGAGCAGAUCCUCUCAAAACAGGCAGCAGGCAGGUGGGCACAGAUCCACCACUGGCUAACACCUGCCUGAAGUGGCAGACUCUAUUGCUGUUCUGCAGGCCAUCGCAGACUGCAUGGCAACAAAUGUGCAAACUGCUCUUUUUAAAGCAACUCUUUGGAAGUUUGGAUCCUCAUGUGCAUUUCUAACCUGAGCUCAUUACUUAAGCCCUUGCAAUUGUAUGUAACCGGAGGCAUUACCCUUUUUUUCUCCCUUCAUAAAUCAAAUCUCCCAUCUUUUGCCAUAUAAUCCAAGACUGAAAAUACCUUUUCUGUUUAUGUCACACCACGGUAAUGCAGUCACUGAUCUGCCACAGGCUUCAGCUGCUGUAAAUUCUUUUCCUACUGCCCUUUCCCCCACCAGCUUUCUCGCAGUGCUUUAUGGCUCACAGGUCUGGGCAUUGAUUCAGUAGUUUCUUUAAGGAGGGCCCAGAAGGUAUGAUGGAAAAGUAUGUUUAUCAGAUGUGAUAUAGUUGAAUGAAUGCAGUAAAUGCUGUCCUACACAAACAAAAAUACAAAUCCAGCAAGGAAAGUUUUAAUGUGCCCACCUCAAAAAUUUUGCUGAUAAUGAUUAAUGCUGUGGAUGAGAAGAGGGGUUCUCACAACCUUUGUGUUGACUGUUAAUCUGCAUGGAAACCACUUGCACAAAGUUUAAGUCAGUGCAGAUCACCAACUAUUUCUGUGCAGCUCCUCUUAUGAUGACUUUCACAAUAAAAUGGGAGAUCUUCCAUGGUUUCACUUUAAUACUUGUCUGAUUCAAUUUGUCAUUUAUUUAGGCAUCGUCUACACUUUAAAACAGGAAAAAGAAAUAUAGGUUAGCAAAGGUUUGCUGUGUUCUCUUCCAGAUUUCCAGCAUCUUCUCAGAUGGUUGGUAAAUUCACUCCACAGAUAAAUCAUUGAGGCUUUUUCACACACUCUUUCAUUUUAGUAUACAUUAAAUGAGAAAAUAUUAGGGCACACACAAAAAAAUAGUUCAGCUUUCAUGUUUCCUUCAGCGUGUGGUGUAAGCAUGUUCUUCUGACUACACACCAAGGCUAGCUGGUGUUUUGCCUACUUGGCACAUUUGGAAAACAUGCAUGCCUAACUUUACAGCUCAAAUAUGAGUCAUUGUUGUAAUUUAAUGUUUUAUAUGCUGAGAAACACUGUGUUUUUGAAUAAGAUGAUUAGCAAACAGCGUUUGCAAUGCUGGAUACUGUUAGGUGAAACAAUAUUUCUUGUAUCAGGAUUGUAAUUGAUUUUUCCUCUAUAAAGAAGUUUCCCCUCAGA